rnacentral:lncRNA from 1 species
CAAUGCCAUUCACGGUAUUUAGCAGGACUAAGUACCUUUUUCAUUUUUUAAGAAGUCUUGGGAGUUGAACCGAAUUUUGAAUCUACAUAAACAGAGGAGGACAAAUCAAAAGGCAGCUCAUCAAAAGUACUAAGCAACUUACUUACAAUCGAUGAAGGCAGUCAGAACCUGCAGCCUAGGCAAGGAGUCGAAUUCCCACUCUCUGCUGAUCUUAAGGGUGUCCUUAGAUCAAUCAUGAUUCUUUUUGCUCGAGUGAUCAAAACGCCUAUAGUGGGUCCUCAGUGGCCCAACACCAUCGAUGUGAUCUAUAUCAAACAAUUACUAAAACUCGUUGGCAGUCAGGUCCAAGUUAAAGGACCUGCUUAAGUUAUGGAAACCCCAUUAUCAUGCAAAUCACGUUCCGAUAGCACUAAGCAGGAGCACACUUCAUGGAGCAGAUCACCUCUUGGAAGAACUGAGGCAUGGGAAAGGUGAACCCCAACACGAAGUAGUAGGGGUUAGACUUGAUAGCUCCCUAAAACCACACGGCCCAUGGCUACUACCAUCCUUGGCCUGCUUCACACGAACCCGGAUGAAAUUGGGUGCUUAAACAUCUCGAGGAAGCCCCUGAACUGCGUAUCGAAACUUCUCUUAACAUGAGCAGCUUUGAAGUAGCUUAGCUUACUUGCAGAUCUGCCUUCAUGAUACAACGCCAGAAUGAAUUCAUUGUUCUUGUGGCUCAAGAAAGACAUGUUCGAAAGAUCUCACGAGCCCAGAAGCCGCACCUGGCCCUAUAACCUGGUCUCCUUUCCUCUGCCCAAAGGGCGCAGCAACCUAGAUUACAUGGCAUGGAGCAGACGCCCCAGC